CGCCUUCUUUUUGUUAAGAGGCGCGUCCUCCUACUAGUGUAAAAAUAUGCAUGACUCUUGGCAACGGAUAUCUAGGCUCUCGCGUCGAUGAAGAACGUAGCGAAAUGCGAUACUUGGUGUGAAUUGCAGAAUCCCGUGAACCAUCGAGUCUUUGAACGCAAGUUG
rnacentral:rRNA from 2 species